rnacentral:rRNA from 1 species
GACGAACGCUGGCGGCGUGCCUAAUACAUGCAAGUAGAACGCUGAAGAGAGGAGCUUGCUCUUCUUGGAUGAGUUGCGAACGGGUGAGUAACGCGUAGGUAACCUGCCUGGUAGCGGGGGAUAACUAUUGGAAACGAUAGUUAAUACCGCAUAAAAUGGAUUAUCGCAUGAUAAUGCAUUGAAAGGUGCAAAUGCAUUACUACCAGAUGGACCUGCGUUGUAUUAGCUAGUUGGUGGGGUAACGGCUCACCAAGGCGACGAUACAUAGCCGACCUGAGAGGGUGAUCGGCCACACUGGGACUGAGACACGGCCCAGACUCCUACGGGAGGCAGCAGUAGGGAAUCUUCGGCAAUGGACGGAAGUCUGACCGAGCAACGCCGCGUGAGUGAAGAAGGUUUUCGGAUCGUAAAGCUCUGUUGUAAGAGAAGAACGAGUGUGAGAGUGGAAAGUUCACACUGUGACGUAUCUACCAGAAAGGGACGCA